rnacentral:lncRNA from 1 species
CGAUCAGCGCAUAAAGCCGAUAUAAAAAGAAAAAAGAAGAAGAAGGUGGUGGCGUUGACUGAAUCUAAUAAAGAUGGGGGUUAUGGCCGAAUCUAAAGAAGAAGGAGGUAGUGAUGGCGGUGGCAGCUACAAAAACAACUACUAAGGUUCAGUUAGAAGAGUAGAAAAAGGUGGUGGUCAAUGAUAAUCGAAUCUGAAAAAGAAGAAGGUUGUUUAAUCUCAAGAAGAAGGAAGUGGUGGUGGCAUCGAUGAUGAGGAUGAUUCAAUUAGAAAUGAUGAAGGUAGAGGCAGCAGUGGUGGCGAUACGAAAAAGGUAACGACUAUUAGUGAUGAUCUGAAAAAUGAGGAGGCGAUCGGAGGAGGUGGAGUUGAGGUAGCUAGCGAACAAAAACAAAAAAAAAAAAAAAAAAAAUAUCAAAAAUAUAGGAGGUUGUACACCUAAUUUUAAAAUAUAUCGAGGUAAUUAUCCAGAUACACAAUAUAAAUUUUGGUUGUAUCUAAGAUACACAAAUACACCCGAAAUUUUUAUUGUAUAUCUCUGGUUGAUGGUACUCGUCGGAGCAGUGGCACCGUGAAAUUGGAGGUUGAUAAAGUUGUGGAUCUCAUCUGAGCUUGGAGCUCGUAGUAGUGGUGGUAUGGAUCGGAGAAGAUAAAAGAUUUCAACAGUUCAUCAUCGGUGCGUGAAGAUCGAAGAUAGAUCUGACAUAUACGUGGAGAUUGGGCGUGGUUGCCCCCUGAAGUAGAGUUGGUGCUUGGAUGACGGAGAGGUAGAUUCAGUCGAUGCUUGGAGAAAAAAGGUGGAGAGUGGUGAAGUGGUUAUCUAAAUUCACCAAGAAAAAAAAAUGGAAAAAGUAUGGUUGCCGAAAAAAAUAGGGAAAGUGGUGGUUGCCAAAUAACACAAAUUUGAACUCUCCAAAAAAGGAGGAAUGAUGGCUACUGUUGGUUUCAUGUAUCUUUAUAAUUUAUGCAUUGAAGAUGAGGGGUAAAAAUUAAAGGUAUUUGUGGUCCCUUGCAUUGACAGUGAGGGUAAAUUUAGUAUAAAAACAAAUAAUGGUAAAUGUAAGCUAUUUUGAAUAGUUGGGAUAGUUGGCCCUUUUCUAUAUAACAAUAAUGUGAGAAAAAUUAGAAUUUUAUAAAUAUGAUUCCACAUAUAGGAAUAUCAUUCUUCUCUUUUUUUUCUUCUAUAUACGGUCUUUUUUAGAUUUUUUAAGAUGAUCUUCUCGAAAAUCAUAAUCUUUUUUGCAAUGUAACAUUUAUGAUAAUUAUUUUCUAGUGUUUGUGCUAGCCACGUGCGGGGGCGGGAAUGUCCCAAGAGUUCAUUUGAACGUUCUUCGCUGGAAAAUUAUAAUUUAUAUAUGAUUAAAAUUAUUUUUAUGUAUAUAUAAUAGGUAUUGAAUCAUCUAUGAUUUUUUUCGAUAUGUGUAAUUCUUCAUAUUUUGAACUUCCUUAAUGGAACUUCCAGAUUUAGUGAACAAGACUCAACAUCUCUACCAAACCCCAGUGGAGGAGCCAGAAUUUUCAUUGAGGGAGUUCAGAAGUAAAUAUACGGAAUAGUAGAAGGGGGUUCAACAUCUACAUAUAUACAUAAAAAUAUUUUUAAUCAUGUUAAAAUAAUAUAAUUUUUCAACGAACGGGGUGAACCCUUUAAUUCAAUGUGAUUCCGCGACUGCCAAACCCGCCUUGGAUUUUACUUUCUCCAAUGAAAAACACAUCAACAUGAACAUUGAAGGAAGGUGAGGAGAAUAGUUAUUAAUUGGAGAAAGAGGAAAAAGGUAAAGAAAAACCUUUGCGAGCUAAAAAUAACACCCUUAUCAUCAAAUUCACCUCCAGAAAGAUUAAUGAUCCACAUAACACGCAACAGAACACUCGAUUGAAGAUUGCACUCAACGGCGAUAUUAAAAGAUGAACAGAAAGAGAACUUAGAUUAGGAAGCCCUAUAGUGUGCUUAGGUUUUUAUUUCAGUCUGAUCUGAUUAUGCUUUGAAUCUUUGCUUUUUUCAUUUCAAUUAUGGGCUCUGAGUCUAUGUUGUACAGACUCUACUUAUUUUCUUAAUAAAAAGGCCAAAAGCCCAAAUUUUAUUUUAUUUUUAUAAAAACAAAAAAUAGAGGAUUAGGAGGACUAGGUGUUGAUAGAGACGACAACAACGAUGAUUAAAUCAAACUAGAAGAAGGAUGAUGAAGUAAUAGACCUAUCCAAAAAAGCAAUCUACUUAAUUAGGAUAAGAGUAGAUCUCCACUAAUAAAAUUCUCGAUUAAAACCUACACUACUUUGCAUCGAUCGGUGCAUAAAGCCGAUCUAAAAGGAAAAAAGAAGAAGAAGGUGGUGUCUUUCACUGAAUCUAAUAAAGAUGGGGGUUAUGGCCAAAUCUGUAGAAGGAGGAGGUAGUGAUUGUGGUGGCAGCGACAACGACAACUACUAUGGUUCAGUUAGAAGAGUAAAAGAAGGAGGUGGCCGAUGAUAAUCGAAUCUGAAAAAGAAGAUGGUUGUUUAAUCUCAAGAAAAAGAAAGUGGUGGUGGCACCGGUGGCGGCGUUGAUUCAAUUAGAAAAAUGAUGAAGGAAGAGGUAGUAGUGGUGGCGAUAUAAAAGAAGUAACGAUUAUUAGUGAUGAUUUGAAAAAUGAGGAGGCAAUUGGAGGAGGUGGAGCUGAGGCAGCUAGAGAACAAAACAAAAAAAAGGAAAAAUGUCGAAAAUAUAGAAGGUUGUGCACCUAAUUAUGAAAUAUACCGAGGUAAUUGCCCAGACACACAAUACAAAUUUUGACUGUAUCUGAGAGACACAGAUACACCCAAAAUUUAUAUUGUGUAUCUCUAGUUGAUGGUACUUGACUACUCAUCGGAGCAGUGGUGCCGUGAGAUUGGAGGUUGAUAAAAUUGUGGAUUUCGUCUGAGCUUGGAGCUCGUAAUAGUGGUGGUAUGGAUUGGAAGAAGAUAAUAGAUUUCAAUAGUUCACCAUCGGUGCAUGAAGAUUGAAGGUAUAUCUGACAUAUGUGUGGAGAUUGGGCGUGAUUGCUGGCCGAAGUAGAGAAGAGAAGAGAAGAGGAGAAGCAAAUGUUUGGGUGUUGUUGAUAGCAGUGGUGGAUCUACCCUUAAAAUUAUUUUUUAUGUAGAUAUAUUAGAUAUUGAACCCCCUUCGGUUAGUUCGUACGCUCACUUGUGAAUCCCCUUGGUGAAAAUCCUGGCUCCGCCACUGGCUGAUGGGGGUGUUCAUGGAUCGGUUAUUGGUCAAAACCAUAACCAAAUCAACUUAGUCGGUUUUUAAAUUUUUAAAAUCAAACCAAACCAAUACAAAAAAAAUAACCGUCGGUUGGGUUCUUAUCGGUUUAGUUCGGUUCAGUUUUUCGAUUUAUAACGUUAGUUAAUGAUAAAAGAUGAAUUUUUUCUUGAAAAAAUCCAAUCCAACAUAUGAGAUGGCAACCAAGUGUUGUUCCUCAACCUUGAAACUAAGAUGUCAAUUUAGUGUUAUACUUAACAAAAUCAAUGAACAACACCAUACAAACGCUCCUACAAAAAUAUUUAGAAACUACAUAUAAGAGAAUGAUAUGAUAAAUCCCCCAAAAGGUAAACACAUAAAUUUUUUGCUCAAUAGGGACCAAAGAGAAAGUUCAAAACUAGUGAUUAACUGUAGUCUUAUAAAACUCACUUAUAAAAUCCCAUAGAUAACAAGAUGAUUUUCACAAUUAGUAUCAUUUGUCAUUCAAAGUGCAAAAAUCAUAUAGAAUCUCAUAACGUACUAUCAACUAGAUAGAGACAUAUGACUAAAAGUGCUAUGACUAAAGUUAAAUUCAUGAUUAAAAUUUAAAAUAUAAAAAAUAUUUAUAUUUUAUUUAAAUAAUUUAUAUAUGCAUAUGUAUGUGUGUGUAUACAUAUAUAUAUAUAUAUAUAUAUAUAUAAUUUUUAUCGGUUCGGUUUGGUUAUUUUGUUUGUUAUUUUAGAGUAAAACCAAAACCAAACCACAUAAGUAUCGAUUUUAAAAAUUUAAAACCAAACCUAAUCAAAUAUCGGUUUUUUUAAUCGAUUUGAUUUGAUUCGCGGUUCGGGUUGAUUUUUAACCAAACCAUGAACACCCCUAGUUGCUGAGGGAGGGAGAGUUUAUAGAUGCUGUUGAAGUAGGAAUUUGGCUUAUUAAUUGUGGGAGUAGAUGUCAAGUGCAAUAUUAGUGCAAUAUUUGUCAAUAUUUCAAUCUUUUUUUCUUUUGUCUUUUUUAGAUUUUCGUUUAGAUGAUAUCUUUGAAAAUCAUAUGAAAGAUUCUCAACGUUACAUUAUAAUAACUGAUGUGUAAUUUACUUGCAAGUUAUGUGCUUAAUGAUGAAUCAUAAUUCAUUUCUGCGUGACUCGAUUUUGAGAAUAAUAUUUUUGACACCUCAUUUUUGUGAAAAAUAUAUUGAAUAUUACGUUGUGUAACAAUUAUAAACACAGUGGUUCUUUUUCUUUUCUCAUAUUGUGGCUUUUAAACACAAGUAGAGACGUGUGAAAGUACUUAAUUUUUACUUCUUUUCAUCUCGUAAAGAGUACAGAAUUUAUAAACGUACUUCAAAUUUAAAACAAUCAAUCCAGCAUGACAUUCUUUCGCAUGCAGAGUUUAAAGUGAAUUUAUUGAGCAUUCUGACAUUGCUUCAAAAAUCAAAGGAAGAAAGCUUUUUUCAAGAAAUGGUCAAAGAAAAAUUUGAAAUUAGGCUUCAAUAAAGAAGAACAAAACAUCAAUUUAAAGGGAGAGAAGUUCUUUCAUAUUGGAUUGCUUAGAUGGACUGCCAUGUAACUAGUUAUUUAAUCUAAUUGGAUUGUCAAAUCAGCUCCAGAGACGGGUAAAAAUUAAAGGCAUUUGUGGUCCCUUGCAUUGACAGUGAGGGUAAAUUUAGUAUAAAAACAAAUAAAAGUAAAUGCGGGCUAUUUUGAAUAGUUGGGAUAGUUGACCCUUUUCUGUAUGACAAUAAUGUGAGCAAAAUUAGAAUUUUAUAAAUAUGAUUCCACAUAAAGGAAUAUCAUUCUUCUCUUUUUUUUUUCUUUUAUAUAGGUCUUUUUUUAGAUUUUUUAAGAUGAUCUUUUCGAAAAUCAUAAUCUUUUUUGCAAUGUUACAUUUAUGAUAAUUAUUUUCUAGUGUUUGUGCAAGCCACGUGAUUUGAACGUUCUUCACUGGAUAAUUAUAAUUUAUAUAUGAUUAAAUUAUUUUUAUAUAUAUAUAAUAGGUAUUGAAUCAUGUGCAAUUUUUUCGUUAUGUGUAAUCUUCAUAUUUUGAACUUUCUUAACGGAACUUUCAGAUUUAGUGAACAAGACUCAACAUAUCUACCAAACUUGCCUUGAAUUCUACUUUCUCCAUUGGACAACACAUCUACGUUAACAUUGAAGGAAGGUGAGGAGAAUAGUUAUUAAUAAUAGAAAGACGAAAAAGGUAGAGCAAAACGUUUGCGAGCUAAAAAUAAUUAACACCCUUAUCAUCAAAUUCACCUACAGAAAGAUUAACGAUCCGCAUAACAAGCAACAGAACACUCGAUUGAAGAUUGCUCUCAAUGACGAUAUUGAAAGAUGAAAAGAAAGAGAACUCAGAUUAGGAAACCCUAUAGUGUGCUUAGGUUUUUAUUUCGGCCUGAUCUAAUUAUGGACUGAAUCGUUUCUUUUUUCAUCUCAAUUAUGGACUCUGAACCUAUGUUGCACGGAUUUUUCUUGUUUUCUUAAUAAAAAGGUCAAAAGCUCAAAUUUAUAUUUUUUUUUUUAAAGAAAAAUAGAGGAUUAGGAGGACGAGGUGCUCAUAGCGACGACAACAACGACGAUUAAAUUGAAAUAGAAAAAGGAUGAUGAAGUGAUAAACCUAUCCAAAAAAGCAAUCUACUUGAUUAAGAUAAGAGUAUAUCUCCACUAAAAAAGUUUUCGAUUAAAACAUACACUACUUUGCAUCGAUUGACGCAUAAAGCCGAUCUAAAAAGGAAAAAGAAGAAGAAGGUGGUGGCUUUGACUGAAUCUAAUAAAGAAGAGGGUUAUGGCCGAAUCUCAAGUAGAAGGAAGUGGUGGUGGCAACGAUGACGACGAUGAUUCAGUUAGAAAAGAUGAAGGAAGAGGUGGUAGAGGUGGAAAUACAAAAGAGGUAACGACUAUUAGUGAUGAUCUGAAAAAUAAGGAGGCGAUUGGAGGAGAAGGAGCUGAGGUAGCUAGCGAACAAAAA